rnacentral:rRNA from 1 species
AACCUUUAGCUAACCAAGUAUUAAAGGCAACGCCUGCCCAGUGAACAAUUAAACGGCCGCGGUACCCUAACCGUGCAAAGGUAGCAUAAUCAUUUGUCUACUAAUUAUAGACCUGUAUGAAAGGCAAAAUGAGGGUUUAACUGUCUCUUAUAAUCAAUCAAUUAAACUGAUCUUCUAGUAAAAAAGCUAGAAUACGAACAUAAGACCAGAAGACCCUGUGAAGCUUAAACUAAACUAUUAAACCAAAUAAUAGCUACUUUCGGUUGGGGCGACCUUGGAAAAAAAGAGAACUUCCAAACACAUGACCUACCUCACACCAAACUUAGGCCCACAAGCCACAAACGACCCAGCACAGCUGAUCAAUGAACCAAGUUACUCCAGGGAUAACAGCGCAAUCUUCUUCAAGAGCCCAUAUCAAAAAGAGGGUUUACGACCUCGAUGUUGGAUCAGGACAUCCUAAUGGUGCAGCCGCUAUUAAGGGUUCGUUUGUUCAACGAUUAAUAGUCCU